ensembl:lncRNA novel transcript
GCCUGCUGUCAUGCAACGUGUCUUUGCUCCUCCUUCACCUUCCGCCAUGAUUGUGAGGCUUCCCCAGCCAUGUGGAAACAUAUUCGCAGAGCACCCACUAGGUGCCAGUAAAUGUAUGAGAAGUCCUGUGGAAUAAGACUGAAGUUGUCCUUGCCUUCAAGCAACUUGCAAUUGCCUAAGAACACAGUUUAAAACCACAAAACUAAGCCUUGGAAAUCACAUGCUGUCAUUUCUGCGAUCGGUCAUAACCAGUCCUGAUUCCAUGUUAGAGGAGACUACAUAAGGACACAGGUACCAGAAGAUGAAAAAUUUGGAGUCUAGUGAAAAGAAGUGACUUGCUCAAAAUCACACAGCACAUGAAGAACAGAGCCUCUAUGAUGAAUUUCUUGACAGAACUCUCUUUUGGCCUGCUGCCAUUCACGUUAGAUGUGACUUGCUCCUCCUUGCCUCCUGCCAUGAUUGUGAGGCCUCCCAAGCCAUGUGGAACUAUGGGAGUUUACCUGCACAAAACUCUUUUUUUGCCUGCUACCAUCCACGUUAGAUAUGACUUGCUCCUCCUUGCCUUCCAUCAUGAUUGUGAGGCCUGCCCAGACAUGUGGAACUCUGAUAUAAGUCUUUUGAGGUACAGCCUGGCACAAAAAGGAUGAGAUUUGUGGGCAGAAUUUUGGAAGAAUAUCUCCCGAGAGAACAUUCAGGACAGAUUGCACUGCUUUGGAGAGCUGGUGAUGAAAUCCGGCCAUUGAAUUACACUGCACUAUAAACUUCAUUUGUUCUUGGGUGCAUAGUGAUUUGCUAUAAUAAUGAUCAUCCAUUUGCCAGACAGCUGAGAUUUUUUAAAAGCUUGAUUGCUUUUGGCAUGGCAUUAUUAGUCCUGGAAGAAGGCAGCACAUUUGUAGCAAUUCUCAGCUUGAGCAAACUAGAAUAUUCACCUCCCACAAAUGCUGGCCAUUUAAGAUCUGUGUGUUAGACUUUGGCAUUUUUUCUAGCAAUUCUACAACAGCAUACACACUUUUAUUUUUCAUUAACACCAUUGUGAAUAUGCCCAUCUCUAAAAUUUCAAGGGGGUUCACUUAAGCUACUGAGUUUUAUGGACAGAAGGGCCAAGAAAAGUCCCCAAAGAAGAGUGCAUGCUGUCAAUUGCCAAUUAUUUUUUUUUCUAAUGAAAGCCAAACAAUUCCAGACAAACCCUUUUCUAAGAAAUGAACUACAUAUCUGGAUCCAAAUAAAUACUCAUCUGAUAAGAAUCUAAAAGCUCUACUGAAUUACAGUGGAUGAGAACAUGAUGAUGGUGAUUCUUUGAAGAUUACUGAGGAAAUCAACUCUCAUGUCUGAUUCUGAUACUUUUAUAGUCCAUCCAUGUUGAAAAUGUCUAUGGAAUGAUUCUGUUGUACCUUGAGAAAUGAAAUUCAUAGGCAUGGAUUCUCUCACACAGCAACUUUAUACACAAAGAUGAGAAUAGAAGAAAGGUCAUUUCCAAAGAAAGUGACAUUUAUUCUGUAUUCACUGAAAAGCCAAAAGAAUUUUCUCAUUCACCCAUACCGACAGAGCCCUACAUCUCCCCGAGAAGAGGUGAAAGAGACUGCUCCUAUCUGCUUCUGCAUCAAACUUCAGGCUCAAGACCUGUCCAGAAAAAAAAAUGUCUUCUUUCAGGGAUGAACUGCUGUCCUCAUCAGACGCCUUAUUUUGUUUAGAAUUCAAGCUCACUUGACAGGUUAUUGUGAAGAUUAAAUGAAUUAAUACAUGUGAAGCAACUGUAACAACUCUUGACAUGCGUGGGCUGGACUUCCAGAAGAAACGUUGUCAGAACUCUGCCCAACUGAAAACAAGCCUACUAAAAAUAAAUAAAUAAAUAAAAUUUUAAAAAAUUGAUUAAUUAAAA